AAUCCACCAUUGAAAUACAUUCACGCUCACAAUUCUACAAAAUACUACCACUGGCAGAGUUGGGGUUCUAUUCCCAUGAAUGAAAGAUCUUCUCCACUUAAUACUGCAAAUUCUGUUCUGUGUAAAGGGGCUGUGAUCCGUCUCACAGAGAAAGUACUGAGUAUUGUGCACCGUUUUUCAACAAACCGUAACAUUCUAAGAGCAUUCCCUUGACAACUAAGCCUAUACUCGCAUGUGGAACGUCAGUGCGCACGACUUUCUUUGAUGUCAGUGUAGGUUACCAAGGUGUCCUUUUCUUGCUCCUCUCUCCCGUCUGCGAACAGCCUCUCCUCUUCGUGCACAAUUUGAAUCAGAACAUGCGCAGGAGGAAGCGACAGGUGUUGGGCUGAAAAGUAAUCAUCUGCCGAAAACUCUUUGACCUCCGCAAGAGCUCGCGCAGCAUGUUAUAGCUGUAACGUCCUGUAUCUAUACAUCUACAGCUGCUUUUGUCUCAAACAUCAUGUCAUAAUGUGCAAAUAAGUAGCAAUGUUAUGUCUUUGUGAAACGUUAAUGUUUCUUGCAACAGAAUAAUCACAGUUGAAGUGUUUGCAGUUUAUCAGGCCUGACAAAACGUUAUUAUAGGCAAUAAAAUUAGCCUAUUGUUGCCGAUGACAUUUGUGUUUGGUAGGCCUAUGUUCAAAAUCCUUGUUUAUAUCUAGAAAACAGACUGUAGUCUUUGCUUGCUCUGUGCCAACCAACCCAGUCCUUUUAUAACCAUUUGAAAUGUGGAGUUUUGUAGUAUUGCUCUUUCCAAAAAGUAUAACUAAAUCAGUCCUUAUUACCAGUUGACAUACGUUUAAAUAGCCAAUACACCCCAAUAGCCUAUGCAGUUUUUCACUUGCCAAAAAAAUUGUUCCACCUCCUGCUGACUGGAAGGUUCUCAAAAUGAUUUGAUUUCAUGUAUGUCACGUGACAUGCGCGGUGACCUAGAGCGCUCACACAGCAACUCCCCUAUAGAGACGCCGUAAAAACAGUCAAAUUUUAUUUGGAUCACCUUUAACUUAAGAAAAAGAAAAAUAUGAACACAAACUGCAAGUGUUGGGCACUUCCGAUCCAUAUAAUGUUACAGCAUUUGCUGUCGCACUUCUACCGUUAAAAGCCGCCAGGUCCCUGCCGCCGUGUAUCACUUGCCUACUGGUUGGCAGGCAGCGCAAAAUAACGUCUUUUUUGCCCUCCAAGGGAGCGUUUUCCUUGGAAUGUGACAUCACGUGAAAACUAUGAAUAUGAGUUAUGGCUAAAUGUAGCUCACCCAGUACUUUUAACCUGUUGAAAUACAUUUAAAGGGCAAAUACACCCAGUAACAAGUUGUUUUCCACUUGCCAAAAAGUGAUUGCAGUCUCGACCUUGAGACUUAAAUAAGAAAAAGUAGGUAACAAAAGUCUGUCUGGUCAGUGUGGAACCGCAAAUGGUUUUCUGAACAUUCUAAAGACUGAAACCAACCUCGGCCAACUUUAGAAUGUUAGUGUUAGUUGGUCGCUGUCUGAGCAGCAUGCAAGCAGCUUUAAAGGUGUUUUCACACGGGAAGCGACCCUUGACCCUGGGGAGUUGCUCUGCGCUUCUCAUGUGAACAGACAGAGACCAGCGCUCUGCGAGUAAAUGGCAGGCGCUGUGUGCUUAGUAACCAUGGCAACGGCUUCUGUGCGCUACACCGCUGCAGCCUAUUUAGCUUAAGUUAAAAUUAUACAUAACUUUACCAGAUACAUUCAGUUUUGUGGGGAUGCUCUGCCAUGCAAAAUCCCUCCUAUUGAUGUCCUGAUAACUAUUUAGUAAACAAUAAUAGAUUCUGGAAACUCACAAACAGCAAGGAUCAUUCAAACAAAAAGUUCAAGACUAUUCAACUCUGGCGUGUGCAUGAGACCAGCACAACCGUGACAGUUUCAUAGGAACACGCCUGCUUGUCGCUAGGGUAAGCGAGUCGGUCUGGGCGUCCCGCCGUGGCUCGGGGGUCCCGUGGAGAAUAAAUGAGCAGAGUUAGAAAUGAAAGGGGCUUGCCGUUACGGAGAUCUGAAAUGAAUGUCUAUGGGAGUGUUAUUUGAUUUCCAAGUAAUAGUGCCACCUAGAGGCUGAUUGACGCCAAAUUUCACACAACCCCUCGGGAGUGCGUGCCAGAUAAGGUCCCAGAGUUUGGUGUAGAUCGGACAUUGCAAACGUAAGAUCGGACAUGAAAUCCUGUUUUUAGUGUUUGCACAAAAAUGUGUUGGCUUAUAAUUUGGCCGUUUUGUGGCGGAUCAAAAUUCCCUCUACAAACUUUCUUUGGCUUGGUCCAGAGAUGGUCUGUGCCAAGGUUCGUGCCGAUAGGACUUGCGGCCUCAGAGGAGUUAAUUAAAAUAGGUUUUCCAGUUUUCGCGAUUUUGCGAAAUGAAAACGUCAUCACGCAGAUGGUCCUAUACCAUCGGAAUCGACAGCAUCCCCCAAACACAUAGACAUAAUGUUUAUGAAUGUGUGAUGUAGUGGGCUGUAGUUAUGAGGCCCACUUUGGUUGAAAAUCCCAUUGAAAUGAAUGGGAUUGUCUGAUGGUAUUUGAGCUUCGAUUAUAGCGCCACCUUUUGGUCGAAUCGCACCAAAAUUUUCAGGUGUGAUCAGAGCCCCAUGGGGAACAGUUGACCCAAAUUUGGUAUCAAUCAGAGUUGUGGUUGUGGAGAUAUAAAAUGCAUGUAAGUCAAUGGGAUUUGUUUUACGUCUUUAAUCUGCAGUAAGAGCGCCAUCUAUGGGCAUAUUUGAGUGAACUUUGGUGCCUGUAGUAAGGGGACCAUGCUGAACAAUUGGGCUGUGGUUCCUCUACAAACUUUUAUCAGCUUGGUCCAGAGAUUAUCCGUGCCAAGUUUGGUGUUGAUCGGACUUGUGGCUUCGGAGGAGUUAAUUAAAAUAGGUUUUUCAGACUUAGCGAUGUAGCGAAAAAAAAAGUCUAGGCGGAAAUGGUCAUGGCCUAUACCACAAGAUUCAGGUGGAUCCCCCGAACACGUCGAUGUAAGGUUUUUGAUAUCCGCCUUCGUGAGCAGGAGUUCCAAGCCCAAACGCGUUGACCUUGCUUAUAGUGCCACCUAGAGGUAGAAGUGUGCGGAUUUUUGCGCCUGCGGUGACCUGGACCUACCCUAUGAAUUUCGUGUCUGUAGCACUUACCGUCUAGGCCGCAGUAUCAGUUUUCUUCACGGAAGAAUAAUAAUAAAAACCAGAAUGAUUCCAAUAAGGUUCACAGCUCCGCUGGUACCGGGAACUGCGAUGCCUUGCAUUUGGGUUUCCCAGCCCCAUUCGGGCUUGGACCCCUAAUUAACUGCUUGUGUUUUGUGGCUUUGUAGCCUUUGGGUUUUUUACUAAAGUAGGCUUUAGUGUGUUGCUAACAUUGGCAUGGCAGCACACUAUUGUACAAUCCUUUAAUAUUAGCAUGCAUAUGACUUUCUAUAUUUACAUACUUUAGGUGAUUGGAAUAAAGCUGAUAAAAAUUGCAUAAAAAAUUUGGGAUUUUGCAUUUUUAAUUCAUUCAUUCAUUUACUUUUGUUCAUCACUGUGCAAAGCCAUCAGGAUUCAGAUAGUAUACACUAUAACGCUCCAUGCCGUCUUUUUUGAAAUUGGAAUCCGCCUUGGUUACCAUGGAAACCAUCAGUGCAUCUGUCAAACCUGAUCUUUUGUGAAGACGUCCAUUAACCUGCAGAAGUCAAUUAAAACUUCAUUCAGACAUAAACGAGUUGAUUCACGGAUGGUUGAAGCAAAGAGUAACACCAGCAGAAAAAUUUGUUUAUCAACCGAGAAAAAGACCAGCACAAACCUAGAUAGACCUCAUCAUGAUGAUGAUGAAGAGAGUAUUAAUGGAGGACAGCUGGAUCAACAUUAGCCUACCCACACUGUAGAAAAGCCACACCACUGUAACCAGUGUGGGAUGAGUUUCAGACUACCUAUACUAUUGAAGAUUCAUCAGCAUAUCCACACUGGAGAAAAGCCUUUAUGUCUAUGACCAAUAUGGGAAAAGUUCCUGUCACUUACAGGACUUAGAGAGGCAUCAGAGUAUCCACGAUGGAGAAAAGCCAUACUUCUGUGACCAGUGUGGGAAGAGUUUCCGAUUCACUUUGUCAUUCAAAAUUCCUCAGUGUAAUGUUAUCCACAUCGGAGAAAAGCCUUAUGUCUGUGAACAAUGUGGGAAGAGUUUCCGUUGCUUAGGGGACUUGGAGAUGCUUCAGUACAUCCACACUGGAGAAAAGCCAUACUUCUGUGACAAAUGUGGGAAGAGUUUUAGGCAGUCAUGCUAUUUGAAGGUUUAUCAGGGUAUUCACACUAGAGAAAUGCAUCAUCAUCUACACAAUUUGAAAUGUAUGAUCAAAUUGGCUAUUUAAAAAUUAUUUGGAUUAUAAAGGUUGUCACACAACUGUCCCAAUAAUAUUCCUAUGCAUGCAACUUAAGUGUCAAAUUGUAUUAUUUUACUUCCACUGUCAAAGCUACAGCAUCAAACACAAAGACACAUGCAUACACCCAUGCACACAGCUCCCUGAAGAACAAGGCCUUCCCUUAAUAUAGCAAUGCUUGAGUAAGCUAAAACUCUAGUAUUGUAAGCCAGCGUGCUAAAUAUAUAUCUAUAUAUAUAUAUAUAAUUCAAUUCAAUUCAAAUUAGC